rnacentral:rRNA from 1 species
AUAUGACGAUGGACAUUGCAAAGAGUGGCGAACGGGUGAGUAACACGUGGGAAACCUACCUCUUAGCAGGGGAUAACAUUUGGAAACAGAUGCUAAUACCGUAUAACAAUAGCAACCGCAUGGUUGCUACUUAAAAGAUGGUUCUGCUAUCACUAAGAGAUGGUCCCGCGGUGCAUUAGUUAGUUGGUGAGGUAAUGGCUCACCAAGACGAUGAUGCAUAGCCGAGUUGAGAGACUGAUCGGCCACAAUGGGACUGAGACACGGCCCAUACUCCUACGGGAGGCAGCAGUAGGGAAUCUUCCACAAUGGGCGAAAGCCUGAUGGAGCAACGCCGCGUGUGUGAUGAAGGGUUUCGGCUCGUAAAACACUGUUGUAAGAGAAGAAUGACAUUGAGAGUAACUGUUCAAUGUGUGACGGUAUCUUACCAGAAAGGAACGGCUAAAUACGUGCCAGCAGCCGCGGUAAUACGUAUGUUCCAAGCGUUAUCCGGAUUUAUUGGGCGUAAAGCGAGCGCAGACGGUUAUUUAAGUCUGAAGUGAAAGCCCUCAGCUCAACUGAGGAAUUGCUUUGGAAACUGGAUGACUUGAGUGCAGUAGAGGAAAGUGGAACUCCAUGUGUAGCGGUGAAAUGCGUAGAUAUAUGGAAGAACACCAGUGGCGAAGGCGGCUUUCUGGACUGUAACUGACGUUGAGGCUCGAAAGUGUGGGUAGCAAACAGGAUUAGAUACCCUGGUAGUCCACACCGUAAACGAUGAGUGCUAGGUGUUUGAGGGUUUCCGCCCUUAAGUGCCGCAGCUAACGCAUUA